AAGUUUAGAGGCUGAUCUCAGAUUGCAAGGCAUAAGUAGGAAUUUAGUUUUACAGUCUAUGGAUCAGGAUGCUAGAAAGGAGCUCACACCACUAAAAUUGAGAGCAAAGGCAGCAAACAUAAUUUUGGAAGAAAUGUGUAGAAUACAUAAUAUGGCCCUCCACUUAUAGACAUAACUUCAAUGAGCUGACGAAUGCUUAUUCCAAUAUUUUAUUGGGUUUGAUGGAUACAUUUUCAAUGUAGGAUGAUAAAGAAUAUUUGAAAUUAAUGAAUGACAUUUUUAUUAUU